GGAGGAGUGGCAGAGUCUGGUUGAUCGCGGCGGUCUUGAAAACCGUUGUGGGGAAACUCACCGUGGGUUCGAAUCCUACCUCCUCCGCCA
rnacentral:tRNA from 1 species